UACGGAGGGUGCAAGCGUUGUUCGGAAUCACUGGGCGUAAAGCGCGUGUAGGCGGCCUUCUAAAUCUGAUGUGAAAGCCCGGGGCUCACCCCCGGAAGUGCAUUGGAAACUGGAAGGCUCGAGUACCGGAGAGGAAGGUGGAAUUCCUGGUGUAGCGGCGAAAUGCGUAGAUAUCAGGAGGAACACCGGUGGCGAAGGCGGCCUUCUGGACGGAUACUGACGCUGAGACGCGAAAGCGUGGGGAG
rnacentral:rRNA from 1 species